rnacentral:lncRNA from 1 species
GGCCGCCGAUGUUGGACGCGUCGGCGAGGACGAACUGCACCACCUGCUCGGCGAGUGCGUGGAGUCCCUCAACCUCGCCUUCCCCCAGUGUAGCGGCGAGUUGGUUGCGGGUGGCGCCCCCCGCGCCAGCGGUGAUGAGGCUUAGCGCGACAUGGAGGGAGACUGGAGAGAAUGCGGCAUUGUUGACAGUAGACUCGGGGUUGGAUGAGAUAGCGGAGGCGAGGCGGAAGGCAAAGCGGGUCUGGUGCGCAAUGGAGAGGCGAACGUCAGUGGCGAGGGUGGUUGCCAUGGCUAGGAUGGAGGUUCGUUGGGCUUUUGUUAGAGUUGAGAAAAAAAGGGAUGAAUGGGAAGUGUUGUUUUCAUGGGUGAAUUGUGGCUAUUUAACAGGAGCCACAUGCAAAGGUUCGAAGCAUCUGCGUCAUAAAGCAAGAUAAGUGGUUUGUUGUCUCUUGUUUAAUUAGUCAUCGUUGUGUCAUUUCGUAUAUAUGUAAGAAACCUGAGCUUAUCCUUUCUCAAGUUAGUGUGGCG